GAUGAACGCUGGCGGUAGGCUUAACACAUGCAAGUCGAACGGACUCUUCGGAGUUAGUGGCGGACGGGUGAGUAACGCGUGAGAAUCUGGCUUUGGGUACGGGACAACCACUGGAAACGGUGGGUAAUACCGGAUGUGCCGAGAGGGAAAAGAGGAAUUGCCUGAAGAUGAGCCCGCGGUUGAUUAGUUAGUUGGUGGGGUAAGUGCCCACCAAGGCAGCGAUCAGUAGCAGGUCUGAGGGGAUGAUCAGCCACCACGGGAGCGAGACGACGCCCAGACUACUACGGCAGGAAGCAGUGGUGAAUUAUCCGAGAUGGGCGAAGGCAUGACGGAGCAGUCCCGCGUGAGGGAAGAUGGCUCUUGGGUUGUAAUCAUCUUUUCUUAGGGAAGAACAUAAUGACGGUACCUAAAGAAUAAGCCCCGGCUAACUCCGUG
rnacentral:rRNA from 1 species